CACAAAAGCUGUUCAACUGAACUACAAAAGUUAUGUAAUGAGACAAAAUCUCACAUGAAGAGAUGACGGCUCCAGUUGGUUACUGUAGUGUUAAGACAACUACCAUAUUGCUGCCUCACUGAUCAUAGUUAAUAACUGAAGUUCCUAGUGUCAACCAUUGAGGACGGUGACGUGAAGAUGUAAGAUGUGGGCCACAAGACGAAGGUUUGUUUUGGUUAACGGGUCUCUUGCUGCACCACAUUGGAAACUUUCUGCUAUAACAUAGGUUAUUUUGACGUCACAUCUCAAGACCAGGUGUAACUAAGAAGAAGUUCACAAUGUCAAGCAGAGAUAAAAAGUUCUCAUGUGAGGAAUGUGGCAAAGAGUUUGGCUUCAAAGCUACUCUUCAGAAACAUUUACUUAGACACAGUGGUGUAAGAGAGUUUAAAUGUGAGGAAUGUGGGAAAUGUUUCUCCCGGAAGAGUACUCUCAAGACACACUUUCUUGUACACAAUGGUAUAAAGGAGUUUGAAUGUGAGGAA
rnacentral:lncRNA from 1 species